AUAGUAUGCACCAUUAAAAUUGCCAGUUUUUAGCUCCUUAUUUAGUAAAAUAAAUCAUUUUACUAAAAUAAAUCAAAUUAAGUAAAAUAAAUCAUUAUUUAGUAAAAUAAAUUUAUUGAGUAAAAUAGAUCAUAAUUAUUUUAAAGAACCAAGGAGAGGCCAGGCAUGGUGGCCUGGGUGGUAAUCACAGCACUUUGGGGGGCUGAGGCAGGUGGAUCACCUGAGGUCAGGAGUUCGAGACCAGUCUGGCCAACAUGGUGAAACGCUGUCUCUACUAAAAAUAUAAAAAUUAGCUGGGCAUGGUGGCGGGUGACUGUAAUCCUAGCUACUCAGGAAGCUGAGGCACGAGAAUCACUUGAACCCGGAAGGUGGAGGUUUCAGUGAGCCAAGAUAGUGCCACUGCACUCCAGCCUGGGCAACAGAGUGAGACUGUCUCAAAAAAAAAAAAAAAAAAAAAAAGGCCGAAGAGAAAUUCUGCAGUUACACCUUUUUAAAAUUAGGGGUAGUCAAACUUAGAAAGCUUAUUUUGAAAACAAUAUUUGAAUUUGAAAACUAUAUUUUUACUUGAAAUUGUAUUCUUUAUUUUCUCAACUUUUUAAUUUUGUUAGAAUAUAACUUAAUGAUAUUUUGAUGACUUCAUAUUUUAAGAGUGAAAAGUUUUCAUGAAUAAGUCUUGCAAAAUUAACAGCCAUCAACAUAGUUCUCCAAAUCAAAUUGUCAUCCCAAUGAAAAUAAAGAUAGAGGCCAGGCGCGGUGGCUCAUGCCUGUAAUCCUAGCACUUCGGGAGGCCGAGGUGGGCGGAUCAGGAGGUCAAGAUAUUGAGACUAUCCUGGCCAACAUGGUGAAACCCCGUUUCUACUAAAAAUACAAAAAUUAGCUGGGCAUGGUGGCCUGUGCCUGUAGUCCCAGCUACUCUGGAGGCUGAGGCAGGAGAAUCACUUGAAACCGGGAGGCAGAGGUUGCAGUGAGCCAAGAUCGUGUCACUGCACUCCAGCCUGGUGAUAGAGUGAGACUCCGUCUCAAAAAAAAAAAAAAAAAAAAAAAAAAAAAAAGAAAAAAAGAAAAAGGAUAGAUAUAGGUCAAAUUUUCUUAAGAUAACAACGAAAUAAAGUAAGAGUAAAUAUGUUUGAAAAAACAAAGAUGUAUAAAGGUCUUUUGCCUGGCUUAGACCACAUUAAAGUCAUUUAUUGACUAUUUAAAAAAUUUUUUAACUGUUAAUUUUUGUGUAUACAUAGUAGGUGUAUAUAUUUAUGAGGUACAUGAGAUAUUUUGGUACAGGCAUGCAAUGCUUCUUAAUCACAUACUGGAAAAUUGGGCGUCCAUUCCCUCACGCAUCUACCCUUUGUGUAAUAGACAAUCCAAUUACACUCUUUUAGUUAUUUUAAAAUGUACAAUUAAAUUAUUAUUGACUGUAGUCUCCCUGUUGUGCUAUGAAAUAGUAGGUCUUAUUCAUUCUAUUUUUUAUACUCCUUAACCAUCCCCACAGUCCCCCACCCUGAUGUUACCCUUCCCAGCCUCUGGUAACCAGCCUCCUACACUCUAUGUCCAUGAAUUCGAUGGCUUUGAUUUUCAGAUCUGACAAAUAAGUGAGAACAUGUAAUGCUUGUCUUUCUGUGCCUGGCUUAUUUCACUUAACAUAAUAGCCUCCAGUUCCAUCCAUGUUGAAAAUGACAGGAUCACAUUCUUUUUUUAAAUGGCUGAAUAGUACUCCAUUGUGUAUAUGGGGCACAUGUUCUUUAUUCAUUCAUGUGUUGAUGGACACUUAGGUUGCUUCCAAAUCUUGAUCAUUGUGAACAGUGCUGCAACAAAUAUGGGAUUGCAGAUAUCUGUUUGAUACAUUAAUUUCUUUUUUUGGGAGGGUAUAUACCCAGCAGUAGGAUUGCUGGAUCAUAUGGUAGCUCUGUUUUUAGUUUUUUGAGGAACUUCCAAACUGUUCUCCAUAGUGGUUGUACUAAUUUCCAUGAACACCAACAGAGUACGAGGGUUCUAUUGGCUAUUUUUUUAAAUCAGACUUUAUUGCCAUUAAGUCUGGCUUGUUUUAGCUGCAUUUGACAUCCAAUUUUAUUUGAGAGAUAGUCUUUUAAAAUCUUAUAUAAAAGAUGCAAUAAAACUAGCAACAUUUGAAGAGUUAUCUAAUGAAAAAUAUUUGUUAAUUUAAUAAUUAAAAUAAAUAAAAAUUAUUUUAUAAUUAUAUAUAUCUUUAUGAAUAUGCAUUAAAAUAAACAUGUAUAAAAACUAACAUUUUUAAGAAUUGUACUCAAUCAGCUUAUAUCUAUACUUGCCUAUAGCUCCACUGACCUCAAUAGUUACAUCUAUUGUAUAAAUUAAACAUCACACAGUGAGAGUAAAAAAGUAACUCAAUUUAUGUUAUCCUAUCUAUGGAUAGAGGAGAGACUGAAACAAUUUCUACUUUACAUCAAAAUAUUCAGAUAGCCUCAUGCCCAAAUCUAUAAUGAGAUUGCUAUAACUAAGAAGGUAUUUACUUUUCAACCAUUUGCUAAAGUGAUAGGUACAAAUAACUAUCAUAGAACUAUCAGAAGAAAAUAGAGUGGCUAAUGGAAAGUAUUGCUUUGUUUUCUGACUUGAGCUCCUUCAGUACAUUAUGAUGAUCUCAGAUGGUCUUAGAAUUAAAAUAUGUUUUUGCUGGUACCUCACAUAUAGCAAAAAUAUUAACCAAAACUUGCAAUUUUGCUACCCCCCUGAUUAAUCCAAACCAUGCUGAUCUCACUUGAUGAAAUUUUUAGUUUCAGGGUUAGUUUAAGCAUACAAUCAUACACGCUUGGUCAUUUUGGGACUGUUGACUUUCCACGAGGGGAUACUCUAACAUCAAAAUAUUCUAACAUGCCCUUGUUUGCUCAGCUACCUCCACAGCUGUGCUGGCUCUAAUUUCCGGAUGAGAAUGGCCAUGAUAUGAGUAAUUGUAAUUAAAUAACAAUAGUAGCUCACAGUUUCUUGUUGUUGUUGUUGUUUUAAUCUUUCAGAAUGAGUUCAUAGUCACAACCUCACUUUUUCCUCACAAAACCCUAUCAGGCAAUUUAAUCCUCAUUUUAUAGAAGAAAUGAGAAAUAGGUAAGUGACUGGCCCAAGACAGAAUGAGCAUCUUCAGCAUUUUCAUCAGGAUCAAAAAAAUAAAAUAUUCUAAAAAUAUAUAAUUAUUCUAAAAAAUUCUAAAAAUAUAUAUUUACAAAAUUAAAGAAGAAUGUAAUGUAAUGAUAUAUAAGCAAGCAUUAAGAAGACUAAAGAUUCAUUUUAUCAAAAAAUUAAUAAAGCGGCAAGUCAUUUAUAGAUAUUCCUUAGGAGGUGUUUUUGGUAAUAAUUAUUAAAAUAGAGAAAUUCAUUAGAUGUUUACUAAAAGAAUAAGAUGGCCCAGGAUAUAU
rnacentral:lncRNA from 1 species